AGAUUAAGUUAUUAAGGGCGCACGGUGGAUGCCUUGGCACUAGAAGCCGAUGAAGGACGUUACUAACGACGAUAUGCUUUGGGGAGCUGUAAGUAAGCUUUGAUCCAGAGAUUUCCGAAUGGGGAAACCCAGCAUGAGUUAUGUCAUGUUAUCGAUAUGUGAAUACAUAGCAUAUCAGAAGGCACACCCGGAGAACUGAAACAUCUUAGUACCCGGAGGAAGAGAAAGAAAAUUCGAUUCCCUUAGUAGCGGCGAGCGAAAUGGGAAGAGCCCAAACCAACAAGCUUGCUUGUUGGGGUUGUAGGACACUCUAUACGGAGUUACAAAGGACGACAUUAGACGAAUCAUCUGGAAAGAUGAAUCAAAGAAGGUAAUAAUCCUGUAGUCGAAAAUGUUGUCUCUCUUGAGUGGAUCCUGAGUACGACGGAGCACGUGAAAUUCCGUCGGAAUCUGGGAGGACCAUCUCCUAAGGCUAAAUACUCUCUAGUGACCGAUAGUGAACCAGUACCGUGAGGGAAAGGUGAAAAGCACCCCGGAAGGGGAGUGAAAUAGAACCUGAAACCGUGUGCUUACAAGUAGUCAGAGCCCGUUAAUGGGUGAUGGCGUGCCUUUUGUAGAAUGAACCGGCGAGUUACGAUUUGAUGCAAGGUUAAGCAGUAAAUGUGGAGCCGUAGCGAAAGCGAGUCUGAAUAGGGCGUUUAGUAUUUGGUCGUAGACCCGAAACCAGGUGAUCUACCCUUGGUCAGGUUGAAGUUCAGGUAACACUGAAUGGAGGACCGAACCGACUUACGUUGAAAAGUGAGCGGAUGAACUGAGGGUAGCGGAGAAAUUCCAAUCGAACCUGGAGAUAGCUGGUUCUCUCCGAAAUAGCUUUAGGGCUAGCCUCAAGUGAUGAUUAUUGGAGGUAGAGCACUGUUUGGACGAGGGGCCCCUCUCGGGUUACCGAAUUCAGACAAACUCCGAAUGCCAAUUAAUUUAACUUGGGAGUCAGAACAUGGGUGAUAAGGUCCGUGUUCGAAAGGGAAACAGCCCAGACCACCAGCUAAGGUCCCAAAAUAUAUGUUAAGUGGAAAAGGAUGUGGCGUUGCCCAGACAACUAGGAUGUUGGCUUAGAAGCAGCCAUCAUUUAAAGAGUGCGUAAUAGCUCACUAGUCGAGUGACACUGCGCCGAAAAUGUACCGGGGCUAAACAUAUUACCGAAGCUGUGGAUUGUCCUUUGGACAAUGGUAGGAGAGCGUUCUAAGGGCGUUGAAGCAUGAUCGUAAGGACAUGUGGAGCGCUUAGAAGUGAGAAUGCCGGUGUGAGU
rnacentral:rRNA from 1 species